rnacentral:rRNA from 1 species
CGAGUGGCGAACGGGUGAGUAACACGUGGGUAAUCUGCCCUGCACUUCGGGAUAAGCCUGGGAAACUGGGUCUAAUACCGGAUAUUCAGCUUCUGCCGCAUGGUGGUGGUUGGAAAGUUUUUCGGUGCAGGAUGAGCCCGCGGCCUAUCAGCUUGUUGGUGGGGUAAUGGCCUACCAAGGCGACGACGGGUAGCCGGCCUGAGAGGGUGAUCGGCCACACUGGGACUGAGACACGGCCCAGACUCC